GUGAGGAAUUUUGCGCAAUGGCCGCAAGGCUGACGCAGCAACGCCGCGUGGGUGAUGAAGGCCUUCGGGUCGUAAAGCCCUGUCAGGUGGGAAGAAAGGCCUGGAGAGGAAAGGUUUCAGGUUUGACGGUACCACCAGAGGAAGCACCGGCUAACUCCGUGCCAGCAGCCGCGGUAAUACGGAGGGUGCGAGCGUUAUUCGGAAUUACUGGGCGUAAAGCGCGUGUAGGCGGGGGGACAAGUCUGAUGUGAAAGCCCUGGGCUUAACCUGGGAAGCGCAUUGGAAACUGUUUUUCUUGAGUACUGGAGAGGAAGGGGGAAUUCCCGGUGUAGAGGUGAAAUUCGUAGAGAUCGGGAGGAAUACCAGUGGCGUAGGCGCCCUUCUGGACGGUAACUGACGCUGAGACGCGAAAGCGUGGGGAGCAAACAGGAUUAGAAACCCCAGUAGUCC
rnacentral:rRNA from 1 species